AUCCCAUGAUGAGGGCGCUUCCGUAAUAAUUCUUUAUACCUUUUCCAUGCCUCAUACAAGGACUCAUCAUCCAUUUAAUGGAAAGAAUUGAUCUUGUUCCUCAACUU
rfam:Gossypium hirsutum cultivar TM-1 chromosome 12, whole genome shotgun sequence